rnacentral:lncRNA from 1 species
UGCCUUUGCUUGGCCCCAGAGGUUCAGCCCCUUUCUGUUUCUAAUGGGGAUCAACCAACACUGGAUAACUCAGUCAGUUAACUUGGACUAUCUUACUGCAGGGUUUCACAGCUUUCUGACUAUUUUUGGUAAAACAUUGGCCAAAGGUCUCCCUUUGUUUCUGGCACAAUUUCGAAUGUACUUUGCUGCGGUAUAUUGAUGAUCUCCUCUUGGGAUAUAAAAUCCAUAAGGAAUGAAAAAGAGAUACAAGAAAAAUGAUUGGACAUCUUUUGCAGAAGAGAUAUAAAAUAUUUCAGAAAAAGGCACAGUUGUGUUUCAGUGAAGUCAGAUACUUGGGAUUCCAUGUACUAAAGGGAGAGAAAACUGAGUGUGUCCUGGAAGGUGAUGAUCAACAACAUACCUGAGCCCAAGGCUCAGAGGCAACUGCAAAAAUUUCUGGGGGCUUCAGGUUUCUGUUAAAUGUGGAGCCCAGCUAUGCCAUUCUGGCCGGAUCUUUUACAAAGGUCUUUUGAUUCACUUGGCUCCUUCUUCCACAUGGAAACUCUAAGUAAUACCUUCUAUGGAACGCUUUCUGCCCUUCACGUCUGGCUAAGGUUGUUCCAUGUUAUGACUAUAAGCAAAAAAUGA